UCAACCACAAAAAAGAAUGAAAUCGUAUCUUUUGCAGCAACAUGGGUGGAAGUAGAGGCCAUUAUCUUAAGUGGAAUAAUUCGGAAACAGUAAAAUACUGCAUGUUCUCAAUGACAUGUGGGAGCUAAAUAAUGUGUAUACAUGGACACAGAGGGUGAAAUAAUAUACACUAGAGACUUGAAAGGGGGGGAAGUUGGGAGAGAAUGAGGGAUGAGAAAGUACUUAAUGGGUACAAUGAGCACUAUUCAGGUGAUGGCCACACUAAAAGCCCAGACUUCACCUUUAUGCGAUAUAUCCAUGUAACAAAACUGCACUUGUUCCCCCUGAAUCUAUAAAAAUAAAAAACAAAAGAGAAAGAGCACUCAGAAGGAGGGAGCUGCAGCAGCUUCGGUAAAGGUGCACCAUUAGAAACACAAGCCCUCAUACCCAGAAGUAAGGUAGACUCGGCAGAGACCAAGAGCCUGGUUAAGGGGGAGGGGUCAUUGAUAGUUUGGCUGACUGAUGUGGACUUGGAUCCUUGCCUUCUUUGACCUUUAAUAAUUUCCAAGCCACCCUGUGUAGUUAGAAUCCAAGUCCUGGGAUCUCCUUGGUAACCCCCAGUGCUCCAGUCUCCCAUGACCCCAACAAGAAGAACUCAGUGUCACACCUGUUUUCACCCAGCCUGUUAGCCCAUCUUCCCAGCUGUGUCUUUGCUCGCCCCUCUCCACGUGGCCCAGGUGGAGGAGAUUUCAGAGAAGCUUCACAGCUUUUUUUAGUAUGCUCUGCCUGCUUUGGAGUCAGAAAGCCUCGGCUUGAUCUAAACGUUAUCAUUUCCUCCUGGACAAGUUUGGACAAGUCACCAAGUUUCUCCAGGCCUAGUUUCCACUUAGCCCCUAUGGUGAUUGCAAGACUUGAAUGAAGUCACUGUUAAGUAAUGCACAGAUAUCAGUUGUUAACAGAACUCUAAGGCAAUAGUGUUAAAAAUGUGUAUAAUUUCAAGCUAGGGAACAUGCAGAAAUUAUUUUUCAUGGCCACAUGCAUUACAUCAGUGUUUUUCAACCUUUUUCGAGGGUAAGAAUUACUUGGAACUCUCAGAAAAUACAGAUUGCUGGGCUCUUUGUCAGAGAAUUUCUAGGGGAGAAGCCUGAUAGUCUACAAAUUUAGCAAGCAAGGCUUCCAGCUUCCUGUCAGUAGUCAAGUUUGGGAAAUCUGCUUCUAUGAUGCUGUUUAAUACUCAGGUGCUGGGAAUCUGGUAGAGGAGGUAAGCAUACAGAAGGGAGGUUGAGGGUAGGAAAGAAGAGGCUUUCAAUAAUCUGCUAGAGAUGAGCACCGCAGCCUUAUCUUUUAAGUGUGGGGCAGUACAGUUACCGUUAUUAGUCCUGGCUGUGAAUCAGUCAGGAGCCUUUGCACUGAGGCUGCCCUUCUCUCUGUUGCUCUCAUCUUGAAGAUUAACAGCCCUAUUCUUCAGUGGCUGCACCUGUCUGAGGAAGUCAGGGCAUACUAAAAGCGUGAAGGCAAGGAAGGGCACUGAGAGGUGUCCACUCUAGCUGUCACUGGGGCUCUGCGGGCAGGAGUCUGAUGAGGGCAAAAUGCUUUGGCCAAGGCGGGCUUCAGCUUGACCCAGAUUUGGCUUAUUGGAAUGUUUCUCAGAGAAUGUCGAGGAGACCUUCUGCAUCGUAAUCACUGGGGGAUGCUGAUUAAAACUGCAGUCUCUCCUUGUUUAUGGCAGAUGACAAGUGCUGACUGACAGAGUCUCGCUCCUUCACCAGGCUGGAAUGCAGUGGCGCCAUCUCGGCUCACUACAACCUCCCACCCGGGUUCAAGUGAUUCUCCUGCCUCAGCCUCCUGAGUAGCUGGGACUACAGGCAUGUGUCACCAUGCCCAGCUAAUUUUUUGUAUUUUUAAUAGAGAUGGGGUUUCACCAUGUUGGCCAGGAUGGUCUCAAUCUCUUGACCUCAUUAUCCACCCACCUCAGCCUCCCAAAGUGCUGGGAUUGCAGGUGUGAGCCACCGCACCUGGCCAAUGGUGUUUAUAUUUAACAUCAUCAAUGAGGGGCAGACAGACCGUGCAGGCCUUGAGACAUGAUACUUUGAGAUGGUCACACAUCAUAUGGUAUCACAGCUGGAAAUGCAUAAUCUGGAUCUACUCAUGAAAAACAUCAGUGUAUAUUAAAGAAUUUGACCUUGUACCCUCAGCUUCUGGGAAGUAACCUGUGUUGUAUCUGUUGCAGCGUUUUUGUUCAGGAUGGAAGCUGGCCACGCCUGCAGUCUUAAGGUAGGGCUGGCCAUACCAGAAAGACCAACCAUGUGAAUAUGGCAAGGGCUUUGGGUCAUAUGAUAUUGGUAGACCUAGAGACUGAGUCCAACCCUGGGGCAAUUAAUCAAUCAAUCAUGUCUAUGUGAUGGAACCCCUAAGAAAACUGAGCACUGAGGCUUGAGUGAGCUUUUCUCACUAACACUUGUGUGUAUUGUCACACACAAAUAUCUGGAGGGUAAUGCAUACUAACUCCAUGGAGAGGAAAACAGAAACUUCACAUUUGGAACCCUCCAAGACUUUGCUCUAUGGCAUCUCUUCCUUUGGCUUAUUUUAAUCUAUAUUUUUCCCUGUAAUAAACUGUAACCAUGGGUAUAAUAGCUUAA
rnacentral:lncRNA from 10 species